CCUACGGGAGGCAGCAGUGAGGAAUAUUGGUCAAUGGACGAGAGUCUGAACCAGCCAAGUAGCGUGAAGGAUGACUGCCCUAUGGGUUGUAAACUUCUUUUAUAUGGGAAUAAAAUGUUCCACGUGUGGGAUUUUGUAUGUACCAUAUGAAUAAGGAUCGGCUAACUCCGUGCCAGCAGCCGCGGUAAUACGGAGGAUCCGAGCGUUAUCCGGAUUUAUUGGGUUUAAAGGGAGCGUAGGUGGGUUGUUAAGUCAGUUGUGAAAGUUUGCGGCUCAAACGUAAAAUUGCAGUUGAAACUGGCAGUCUUGAGUACAGUAGAGGUCAGCGGAAUUCGUGGUGUAGCGGUGAAAUGCGUAGAUAUAAGGAAGAACACCGGUGGCGAAGGCGGAUGACUGGACGGCAACUGACGGUGAGGCGCGAAAGUGUGGGGAGCAAACAGGAUUAGAUACCCGUGUAGUC
rnacentral:rRNA from 1 species